AGUUUCAGGGGAAACAAACAAAUCAUAUCCAAACCAUAGCAGUAUCCAUUUAUAUCUGGUUUCCUUAAUAAAAUGACAUGGAGCACCCUCCAAAUAGCAUAAAUAUGCAUACCCUAGUUAUGUGCAUAUUUUCAAUUCACUGAACAACCUUCAGUUUCAACAAAGAAACUGUUUAUUUUUUAUUUGUUUAUUUUUCUCUGUACAAAAAGCUUGCUGUGAGUCUGUCUCCCCCAGGAGAAAAAUAAAUAAAUUUCAUGACUUUGUAAUUGUCAUCUUAAAAACUUUCUUGCCUUCAUUUAGUUAUUUAAGAAAAAAAUCUUUGCAAUGCAUCAAGUACUGUUUAUGUCAUUGUAAAGGCUGGAAAAACAUCAACUAAUUGUCAGGGAAAAAUUCAGUUUAUAUUCAAAGUUUCCAACAUUAAAUAUUGUGAAAAUGCAAAGAAGCCCUUCUACUUUCACUUCUCACUUGUAGGAUUUAGAUCUACUGUCUAAAAUAUGAUAAAAUAUUGGGUGACAAAUUUCCUUUGAAUACAAGGUGUGGAAACUAAAAAAAAAAUGUGAUUCAGUUCUCUCUUGUAACCUAGAUAUAAAUAAUGCCUGGAUUAAAAUUCUUAGCACAUUCAGAGAACUUCAAGUAGUUCAUGGUGGCCAUAAUGUGUAGGUUAGAAUCCUGGGCUCUAGCGGUAGGCUAGCUUGUUUUUGAAUCCCAC
rnacentral:lncRNA from 1 species